rnacentral:rRNA from 1 species
UACGGAGGGGGCUAGCGUUGUUCGGAAUUACUGGGCGUAAAGCGCACGUAGGCGGCUUUGUAAGUUAGAGGUGAAAGCCCGGGGCUCAACUCCGGAAUUGCCUUUAAGACUGCAUCGCUAGAAUUGUGGAGAGGUAAGUGGAAUUCCGAGUGUAGAGGUGAAAUUCGUAGAUAUUCGGAAGAACACCAGUGGCGAAGGCGACUUACUGGACACAUAUUGACGCUGAGGUGCAAAAGCGUGGGGAGCAAACAGG